rnacentral:lncRNA from 1 species
UAGGACUGGGAAGGUGUCAGCACCUCUCCCAUUGGACAGUAUCGGCCUAGGAAGGCAGAACAGUUAUCUUUUUUGAAGGAUUUUUUUUUUUUCCUGCUGGCUCUUUAGGUUUUGAUUUGAUAGUUUUAAGCUUUCUGGUUGAGUGUGUUGUCUUUGUUUUUGAGAUCUACUGUAUGUGUUGAAUAGCAAGCUAUUUUCAUUGUACUGUGCAUUUUCCCAUUGUUUGCUUUUCAUAUUCAUACAAUGUUAAAUAUGAGGUGACCGUAAAAUAGUUAGGAGUUUCUUUACUUACAAAAUCACUGGAAAUUAUUAAAUUGCUUUCCCCUCCCCCCAAGGUGCAUUUUUUAUUAUUUUCAUAUAGUAAAGUUGAGCUUUUACAGUGCAUAAUGUGACAUUUGGAAUGCUUAUCAACUGCAUGUAAACAUUAAUAACCUGCACUUUUUGUCUUAAGGUUUGUUGAGCUGUUUUGUUCACUGUACUUUAACUGUGAUAUGGAAAAGAUUGCAUUCUCUGUGCUGUUUCUAAUUAGGAAAGAGAAUUGCUUUGAUUUUGUCUCUUGUUUACUAUAGCUUCUUAAAGUUAAGCCUUGUGCUACGAGUUGUUGGAGUACUCCUAGAUCAGUGUUUUGUAGUAGCCAGCAGUCAGUAGUGCAAGUCAACAAAAACACAGCAAACUUAGGCAAAGUGUCCUUUCUUUGAGAUGCAAGUUCUUUCGUAAGGUUUUCUUUAGGGUCAGUUACCUAAAGUAAAACCUUUCUUACCUGUAGACUUCAGAUUCUGCUUGGAAUCCUACCGGAUCAAGAAGCACAUGUAUUGUGCAGUUGUCUUUACACUAUUAACAGUUAACACAAUCUUACUAGGACUUUGAAUCCAUUGUCUGAUUUAUGGUCAGUGGGUUUAAAAAGAAAUCCACAUGCAGAUCUUUUAAGACUUAAAAAGUGGUCAUAGAGAAGACUGAGUGACUGUAAAGAUGCUCUUUUUGUUUAAAGCAUCUCACUUUUCUCUCCCAUUGACCUCCUAACCUCCCCUUGCCCUUCUCCUGUUUCAUCCUUCCCCCUACAUUUCCCCUCCCAGGUGCUCGGUACUUUACCAAGGUUCUAUAUUUCAGUGUAUUAUGUUAAGAGUCUCUUCUUGUUUUUAUUUUACUAGUGGGUAGCCCCAGUUUGUGCUGAAAAAAAGGGGGGGGUAUAUUUGACCAUAUGUGUUACUCAUUGACAACAGUAUGAUCAAAUGUGCCAAAAACAAGCAAACAGAACUUAAUUCAUGACAAGUAUGCCUUAUUUUUAUUGAUCUGCUUUGUCUUACAAUUAAGGUCCAAGAGCUUGGUUAAACUAUGUUAUAUGCCUAAGUAAAAAAGAAAACUUGAAAUGCAUUGAAAUAUUGAUGUUUUUUAAAAUGAGAGACACUGUCAAGUAAUUUGAUUCAAAGAUCAGCCACCAGAUUUGGAGAGUGAGUGAGUGAGUGAGUGAGUGAGUGAGUGAGUGAGUGAGAGAGUGUGUGUGUAUGUGUGUGUAUUGGUUGUAGUGGUGGUAGUGAUGAUGGUAUUUGUGGCUUUUCCCCCCUUUUAAAUUACCAAAUCUUAUUUUAAAGCUACCUUUUAUUUGUGCCUCGUAUUUAUCAUGCUGAUGUUAGAAGCAGCAGUCAUCCAGCCACAGAGGGAGCUAAAGUUAACUAACCAGAACUGUAGAAAUCAUUCAUGCCUUUGACAACAAAGGAAGUUCAUAGGAAAGCCAUGUUGGCUUUUCCUCUACUAGACACAUGUUGGAGGUAGAUGAAUAUUUG